GAGGGUAUAGCUCAAGUGGUAGAAUGCAUGCUUGGCAUGCAUGAGGUCCUGGGUUCAAUCCCCAGUACCUCCU
rnacentral:tRNA from 1 species